rnacentral:rRNA from 1 species
UACGUAGGGGGCUAGCGUUGUCCGGAAUCAUUGGGCGUAAAGAGCGUGUAGGCGGCCCGGUAAGUCCGCUGUGAAAGUCGGGGGCUCAACCCUGAGCUUGCGGUCGAUACGGGCAUGACUGGAGUUCGGUAGGGGAGACUGGAAUUCCUGGUGUAGCGGUGAAAUUCGUAGAUAUCAAGUGGAACACCAGUGGCGAAGGCGAGUCCCUGGACAACACCUGACACUGAGGCACGAAAGCUAGGGGAGCAAACAGG